UACUUUCCUUACUGCCAGAAAAAAUUUGACCAUAGAGCUGCAGGCUUGCCACUGUGAUGCUGAUGUGAAACAGCCUAGUCUGAACUUCUUUGACAGCACAGACAACUCCACUGAUCGAACAAGAGUAAACCUGAUUAGAAAUACCAUUCAACUGGGCCAGGUGCGGUGGCUCACGCCUGUAAUCCCAGCACUUUGGGAGGCCAAGGUGGGCAGAUCACGAGGUCAAGAGAUCAAGACCAUCCUGGCCAACAUGGUGAAACCCCAUCUCUACUAAAAAUACAAAAAAAAAUUUAGCUGGGCGUGGUGGUGCGUGCCUGAAAUCCCAGCUACUCGGGAGCCUGAGGCAGGAGAAUCCGGAAGGCAAGAUUGGGAAGGCCACUCAUACUCCGGCGGUAUCUGGAGGACCUCCGGGAAGACGGCAAGGACAGCACUUCCG
rnacentral:lncRNA from 1 species